GGUAUGACAGAACUGUGGGGACACGUAAGGAAAGCGGAAGCCGGGAAUGGAAAGCCCGGUGCAAGCGGGGUACCAGUCACUCUGGCAAAUCCGGGUGGCAAUGGGAAGCCGUGAUGCGGAGCGAAAUAAAGUAGCGAAGUCCGUGAGCCAUGCGUCAAGAAAAGCCGCUAUCGUUUAUACCGUACCCGUACCGUAAACCGACACAGGUGGAUGAGGAGAGAAUCCUAAGGCCGGCGGAAGAAGCAUUGUCAAGGAACUCGGCAAAAUGGCCCCGUAACUUAGGGAUAAGGGGUGCCUGGGAAACCAGGCCGCAGAGAAUAGGCUCAGGCAACUGUUUAGCAAAAACACAGGUCUAUGCGAAACCGAAAGGUGAGGUAUAUGGGCUGACGCCUGCCCGGUGCUGGUAGGUUAAGAGGAGAGGUUAGCGCAAGCGAAGCUUUGAAUUUAAGCCCCAGUAAACGGCGGCCGUAACAAUAACGGUCCUAAGGUAGCGAAAUUCCUUGUCGGGUAAGUUCCGACCCGCACGAAAGGCGUAAUGAUUUGAGCGCUGUCUCGACAAUGCAUCCGGUGAAAUUGAAGUACCAGUGAAGAUGCUGGUUACCUGCGCCAGGACGGAAAGACCCCAUGGAGCUUUACUCCAGUUUGGUACUGGGACUCGGUAUUGCAUGUACAGGAUAGGUGGGAGGCUAGGAGAUAGUAACGCCAGUUAUUAUGGAGCCGCUGUUGGGAUACCACCCUUGCAGUAUUGGGUUUCUAACCAGCCGCCGUGACCCGGCGGUGGGACAAUGCCAGACGGGGAGUUUGACUGGGGCGGUCGCCUCCGAAAGGGUAUCGGAGGCGCCCAAAGGUUCCCUCAGAAUGGACGGAAACCAUUCGAAGAGUGCAAAGGCAGAAGGGAGCUUGACUGCGACACCGACGGGUGGAGCAGGUACGAAAGUAGGGCUUAGUGAUCCGGUGGUAUUAAGUGGGAAUGCCAUCGCUCAACGGAUAAAAGCUACCCUGGGAUAACAGGCUUAUCACUCCCAAGAGUUCACAUCGACGGAGUGGUUUGGCACCUCGAUGUCGGCUCAUCGCAUCCUGGGGCUGUAGUAGGUCCCAAGGGUUGGGCUGUUCGCCCAUUAAAGCGGUACGCGAGCUGGGUUCGGAACGUCGUGAGACAGUUCGGUCCCUAUCCGGCGUGGGCGUAGGAUAUCUGAGAGGAGCUGUCCUUAGUACGAGAGGACCGGGAUGGACGGGCCGCUGGUGCAUCGGUUAGACUGCCAAGUCUACGGCCGAGUAGCCAAGCCCGGAAGGGAUAAACGCUGAAGGCAUCUAAGCGUGAAGCCCCCCUUAAGAUGAGAUAUCCCAUUCGAAAGAAGUAAACCCCCUUGAAGACGACGAGGUAGAUAGGGCAGAGGUGGAAGUGUGGCAACACAUGGAGCUGACUGUUACUAAUCGGGUGAGGGCUUGAAC
rnacentral:rRNA from 1 species